GACGAACGCUGGCGGCAGGCCUAACACAUGCAAGUCGAGCGAGGACUUCGGUUCUAGCGGCGGACGGGUGAGUAACGCGUGGGAAUGUGCCCUUCUCUACGGAAUAGCCCUGGGAAACUGGGAGUAAUACCGUAUACGCCCUAUUGGGGAAAGAUUUAUCGGAGAAGGAUCAGCCCGCGUUGGAUUAGGUAGUUGGUGGGGUAAUGGCCUACCAAGCCGACGAUCCAUAGCUGGUUUGAGAGGAUGAUCAGCCACACUGGGACUGAGACACGGCCCAGACUCCUACGGGAGGCAGCAGUGGGGAAUCUUAGACAAUGGGGGCAACCCUGAUCUAGCCAUGCCGCGUGAGUGAUGAAGGCCUUAGGGUUGUAAAGCUCUUUCAGCUGGGAAGAUAAUGACGGUACCGGCAGAAGAAGCCCCGGCUAACUCCGUG
rnacentral:rRNA from 1 species